GCCUGUUUGCCGCAGGCGACAGAGGCUGCUGUGUGGCGAGUACUGCGGCAGGGCCUGCUCUGCGUCCCGUGCACCCUGGGGUGGCACUAAUGGCACUUUUCAGCCCUCGGGUUCCAUCACGUGGUCUUCUUACAUGGGCUGCUGGGUGGUCACGGGGCGGGGGGUCACAUGACUCUGUAAAAUGUGUCCUCAUUCACGAGGGGCCCAAAUGCUGGGGAGGGAGGGAGGCCUGGGGCAGCCCAGCCAGGCAGGGAAGCUCGGCGGCAGGAGCCGCAGCCCAGGGCAGAGGAAGGGUGGCUGUCCCCCCAACUCCCUUCCCAACCCCCCUGCAGACCUCUAUGCUCUGCUUCUAUGCCUGAGCUUUAGUGGGGGUGUUUUUUUAAAUUGCAAAAUGGACAUUUUAAGGGCAUCUCUCUCUGAGUGUCCGGCAUAUAGAUGCGGCUCAAUGGAUGGCAGCCGGGAUGAGGAUGACGAAGCAGAGAUGAAGGGGGCACAUGUGUGUGCACCAUACACACACACCCGAAGUGGUGCGGACUGGAGCCCUCCAGGCUGGCCUCGGGCUUGAAGGCAGAAAGACCAUGGGGUUUCUUUAGUUUUCUGGGUCAGGAUUCCCCAUUUGUUGGGACCACAUCAAGCAUCAAUCUGACAAUAGCUGUUUCCUUAGUGCUUACUGUGUCCCGCCACUGUGAUCAGCACAUUUCACAGCCACAGAACCACCCUCUGGAGCUGUUCCUGGUUAGGGAUGGCACGAACCAUCUCUGUGUGGCCAGGCCUGCUGGGGCUGCCCUAGGCGGUGGCCAUGCUGGGGCUGCGCUUGUGGCCUCCUGGCACUGUCGUCUGGCCUGGCAUUCUCUUGGGGCCCAGGUGUUCCUGGGUAAAGCAGGGCCUGGGGUCAGGAGCUGGGCUUCCAUCCGAGGUGGGUGCCAGAUGCUCAGCUUGCAGCAAAACCACAGGACAGGCAGAAAGGGUCAGGCCAGAGCAGGCCAAUUCUUAGAGGCCAGAGGGGCAGGCCCAGCCACUGAGGUGGCCUCAGUUGUCAGUCUUGGGGCCAAGGAGGGUGAGGAGAAGGGGAUAUGAGCGAAUUGAUCUUCCACCGUGUGACUGGCCUGGCGCUUACAUAUGCAAUGGAGACAGCACUUUGUAGACAACUCCUGUUGCCUCAGUUUUCUUCCCUGCACUCCUGCCAAUCAGGCCAAGUGAUGACCCCCACCACCCCAUGGGAAGGUAGGGCAGG
rnacentral:lncRNA from 1 species